rnacentral:rRNA from 1 species
AACGAACGCUGGCGGCAUGCCUAACACAUGCAAGUCGAACGAGACCUUCGGGUCUAGUGGCGCACGGGUGCGUACCGCGUGGGAACCUGCCCUUAGGUUCGGAAUACCUCCCCGAAGGGGGUGCUAAUACCGGAUAAUGUCUUCGGACCAAAGAUUUAUCGCCUUUGGAUGGGCCCGCGUUGGAUUAGCUAGUUGGUAGGGUAAAAGCCUACCAAGGCGACGAUCCAUAGCUGGUCUGAGAGGAUGAUCAGCCACACUGGGACUGAGACACGGCCCAGACUCCUACGAGAGGCAGCAGUGGGGAAUAUUGGACAAUGGGCGAAAGCCUGAUCCAGCAAUGCCGCGUGAGUGAUGAAGGCCUUAGGGUUGUAAAGCUCUUUUACCCGGGAUGAUAAUGACAGUACCGGGAGAAUAAGCUCCGGCUAACUCCGUG